UACGUAGGGGGCUAGCGUUGUCCGGAAUCAUUGGGCGUAAAGAGCGUGUAGGCGGCUCGGUAAGUCCGCUGUGAAAGUCCAGGGCUCAACCCUGGAAUGCCAGUGGAAACUGUCGAGCUAGAGUCCGGAAGAGGCGAGUGGAAUUCCUGGUGUAGCGGUGAAAUGCGCAGUUAUCAGGAGGAACACCAAUGGCGAAGGCAGCUCGCUGGGACGGUACUGACGCUGAGACGCGAAAGCGUGGGGAGCGAACAGG
rnacentral:rRNA from 1 species